rnacentral:rRNA from 1 species
AUGGGUCUGUCGAUCUCAUACCCACCGGAUGACUACUCGCCAGCAGAUGAUGACAACUCGGACAGGCUAUUCGUCCGGUCCUUAAGCUUAGACAACCUCGGCAACCUUGAGACCCCUGGUUCGCCACCGGAAAUGUCCGAUGCCGUGAGCUCUGGGAAACCUGCGAGAAAAGGGUCCUUAAAUGCCAGGAGAAAAGAGGGUCCUCCAUUACAUGUAGAUACUACAAAACCCAGGGUGAGUCCUAAACCUGACAAGGAAUGUAGUAACCAUAAGCACAGCCACAGCCUUCUGAAAUAUGGGGCAGAUUACCUGCCACCAAAUUCCCCGGUUGUCGGGAUGGUCAGCCCGCAACACCAGGCCGCAGCAGUAAGGGUGCAGAAGGUAUACAAGAGCUUCAGAACAAGACGGCAGCUUGCUGACUGCGCUGUUCUUGUCGAACAACGGUGGUGGAAGCUGCUCGAUUUCGCACUGCUCAAGCAAAGUUCGGUGUCAUUCUUCGAGGUAGAGAAGCCGGAGACUGCCCUAACAAGAUGGUCACGGGCCAGAAUAAAGGCUGCCAAGGUAGGCAAAGGUUUGUCCAAGGAUGAAAAGGCCCAGAAGCUCGCACUUCAGCAUUGGCUAGAAGCAAUUGACCCCCGGCAUCGAUACGGUCACAACCUCCACUACUAUUACAAAAGCUGGCUUCACUGCGACAGUCAACAACCUUUCUUCUACUGGUUGGAUGUAGGUGAAGGAAAAGAGAUUAAUCUUGAGGACCACUGCCCAAGAUGGAAGCUGCUGCAGCAAUGCAUCAGGUAUCUUGGCCCUAAAGAGAGGGAGGUCUAUGAGGUAAAAAUCGAGAAUAAGAUGAUGAUGUACAAGCUGAGCCGCAAGAUUGUCGACACGUCCGAGGGUCCCAAGGAUGCAAAAUGGAUCUUUGUGUUGAGCACGACGAAAAUUCUGUACAUAGGCACGAAGAGCAAGGGCACAUUUCAGCACUCCAGCUUCCUUGCCGGUGGAGCCACAUCUGCUGCCGGGAGAUUAGUCGUCGCGAACGGAAUCCUAAAGGCUGUCUGGCCUCAUAGCGGGCACUACCGGCCCACAGAGGCGAACUUCCGGGAGUUCGUGAAGUAUCUCAGGAAGAGGAACGUCGAUCUCACCGAUGUGAAGUUGAGCCCAACAGAAGGCGAGGAGGACGAAUGGCUGAGGAGCAGCCUCUCCCAGAUGGAUCUAACAACGGAGAUCAGCACGCCGCGGAAGCAAGGAGACACCAGGGCCCAACCCCCUCGCGGUGACAAAAUCAAGAUCAAAACAGCCGUGCCGGCGGCGCCACCUUCCACCAGCGGCGAGGCAGGCGCCGGCUCGCCGGGGAUGAAGCGGUCCUCAUCGGGCACCCGGCUGCAGCGCAAGCGGCCGCCGAGGCUGACGGUGAGCAAGAAUCGUCUGGACAAGGGCGCGGCGGAGCAGGACGCCGGCUCGUUCGGCGACCGGCUGGACUUCUGCAAGGCGAACCUGUUCACGGGGCGCGCCGCGGAGGGCGGGGAGGGGGGCGAGGAGCCGGCGGUGCCGCAGGAGAGGAUCAUGCACCGGAUCAACUCCAAGAUGGCGCACAAGUCGUACCAGCUUGGGCAGCAGCUGUCGCUCCGGUGGACGACCGGCGCCGGCCCGCGGAUCGGGUGCGUGCGCGACUACCCGCCGGAGCUGCAGUUCCGGUCGCUGGAGCAGGUCAGCCUGUCCCCGCGCGCCGGCGCCGGCCCGCCCAGGCUCGGGGCGACCGCGCGGCAGAAGAGCCCGUGCACGCCGUCGCCCCUCGGCGCGCCCGUGACUCCCGCGGCGCCGCUGCUUCAGCACGGCGCGGCGUAG